AUUGAACGCUGGCGGCCGGCCUAACACAUGCAAGUCGAACGAGUGGCGGACGGGUGAGUCAUUUCUUGGAAACUGCCUGAUCUAGGGGGAUAACUACUGGAACCGGUAGCUAAUACCGCCUACCAUCCUAUGUGCCCAGAUGGGAUUAGCUAGGUGGUGGGGUAACGGCUCACCAAGGCGACGAUCCCUAGCUGGUCUGAGAGGAUGACCAGCCACACUGGAACUGAGACACGGUCCAGACUCCUACGGGAGGAAGCAGUGGGGAAUAUUGGACAAUGGGCGAAAGCCUGAUGCAGCCAUGCCGCGUGUAUGAAGAAGGCUUUCGGGUUGUAAAGUACUGUCAUCGGGGAGGCGUUACCCGAAGAAGAAGCACCGGCUAACUCCGUGCCAGCAGCCGCGGUAAUAC
rnacentral:rRNA from 1 species